AGACCCGAAACCCGGUGAUCUAGCCAUGGGCAGGUUGAAGGUUGGGUAACACUAACUGGAGGACCGAACCGACUAAUGUUGAAAAAUUAGCGGAUGACCUGUGGCUGGGGGUGAAAGGCCAAUCAAACCGGGAGAUAGCUGGUUCUCCCCGAAAGCUAUUUAGGUAGCGCCUCGUGAAUUCAUCUCCGGGGGUAGAGCACUGUUUCGGCUAGGGGGCCAUCCCGGCUUACCAACCCGAUGCAAACUGCGAAUACCGGAGAAUGUUAUCACGGGAGACACACGGCGGGUGCUAACGUCCGUCGUGAAGAGGGAAACAACCCAGACCGCCAGCUAAGGUCCCAAAGUCAUGGUUAAGUGGGAAACGAUGUGGGAAGGCCCAGACAGCCAGGAUGUUGGCUUAGAAGCAGCCAUCAUUUAAAGAAAGCGUAAUAGCUCACUGGUCGAGUCGGCCUGCGCGGAAGAUGUAACGGGGCUAAACCAUGCACCGAAGCUGCGGCAGCGACGCUUAUGCGUUGUUGGGUAGGGGAGCGUUCUGUAAGCCUGUGAAGGUGUGUCGUGAGGCAUGCUGGAGGUAUCAGAAGUGCGAAUGCUGACAUAAGUAACGAUAAAGCGGGUGAAAAGCCCGCUCGCCGGAAGACCAAGGGUUCCUGUCCAACGUUAAUCGGGGCAGGGUGAGUCGACCCCUAAGGCGAGGCCGAAAGGCGUAGUCGAUGGGAAACGGGUUAAUAUUCCCGUACUUGGUGUUACUGCGAAGGGGGGACGGAGAAGGCUAUGUUGGCCGGGCGACGGUUGUCCCGGUUUAAGCGUGUAGGUGUGUGUUCCAGGUAAAUCCGGUUCACUUUAACACUGAGGCGUGACGACGAGGCACUACGGUGCUGAAG
rnacentral:rRNA from 2 species